rnacentral:rRNA from 1 species
AACUGCGAAUGGCUCAUUAAAUCAGUUAUGAUCUACGUGACAUAUUCUUUACUACUUGGAUAACCGUGGUAAUUCUAGAGCUAAUACAUGCAAAAAAGCCCUGACUUACGAAGGGGUGCACUUAUUAGAUAAAGCCAACGCUGGGUAAAACCAGUUUCCCUUGGUGAUUCAUAAUAAUUAAGCGGAUCGCAUGGCCUUGUGCUAGCGACGGUCCACUCGAUUUUCUGCCCUAUCAUGGUUGAGAUUGUAAGAUAGAGGCUUACAAUGCCUACAACGGGUAACGGGGAAUUAGGGUUCGAUUCCGGAGAGGGAGCCUGAGAAACGGCUACCACAUCCAAGGAAGGCAGCAGGCGCGCAAAUUACCCAAUCCCGACACGGGGAGGUAGUGACAAUAAAUAACAAUGCAGGGCCUUUAAGGUCUUGCAAUUGGAAUGAGUACAAUUUAAAUCCCUUAACGAGGAUCAAUUGGAGGGCAAGUCUGGUGCCAGCAGCCGCGGUAAUUCCAGCUCCAAUAGCGUAUAUUAAAGUUGUUGCAGUUAAAACGUCCGUAGUCAAAUUUUAGUCUUUAGGCGAGGUGGCCUGGUCUUCAUUGAUCAAGCUCGCUUCCGCCGAGACUUUUUUUUUGGUUAUGCUAUGGGUGGCUUCGGUCGCUUGUAGUCUCUAGCCAAAUGAUUACCAUGAGCAAAUCAGAGUGUUUAAAGCAGGCUUUUAAGCUUGAAUGUGUUAGCAUGGAAUAAUGAAAUAUGACUUUAGUCCCUAUUUCGUUGGUUCAGGAACUUAAGUAAUGAUGAAUAGAAACGGUUGGGGGCAUUUGUAUUUGGCCGCUAGAGGUGAAAUUCUUGGAUUGGCCGAAGACAAACUACUGCGAAAGCAUUUGACCCAGGACGUUUUCAUUGAUCAAGGUCUAAAGUUAAGGGAUCGAAGACGAUUAGAUACCGUCGUAGUCUUAACCACAAACUAUGCCGACUAGAGAUUGGGCCUGUUUAUUAUGACUGGCUCAGCAUCUUAGCGAA